rnacentral:sRNA from 1 species
UCAUUGAGGGCUGCCAUUGUGGUGAAAUC